rnacentral:lncRNA from 1 species
UGUGGAAGAUGCUACUGGAGACAACAGGUUCCUCCAGGCCUGAUUGCUUGGUCAAUUGUGAAUCACCUUUGAUGAAACAUACUCCGGCAUAAGAUGAGCCAGCGUGUGGCACCUGGCAUUUCAUUAAACAAUUGCACUGACUUAGAGGAUGCCCAGGAACCCAGACCACUACAUACACCAAAUCUCUUUUCUGAAAAUCCAUGGAGAAAUUUUUCCAGAGCUCACGCUGGCCCCAAACAAGGGGCUCCAAAGGGUUAUGGAAAACGACCUGGAGAGUUAGAUAUGCUGACAACGAAGGAUAUCCAGGAUUCCUUGUGGAGCGAAAAAAGGAAAAUGCACAGGAUGAACAACAUGAUCUCAUUUGUGUAAAAGCAAAACAAGAAAGCACCUAUGUAACUGUGAGAAAGCUGUUUUUAUCUGUCCAGUGUGUCUCUCUCCCAAGCCCUAUCUCCUUUCUGAUCCUGUCUUCUUGCCUAUGGGGAACCUUGUAUGUUUUGGAGUGAACUGACUCCAUCUUCCCCCCAGGCUGAGCAUGUAACUAAGUCCUGGCCAAUCAGUGAAAUCCUGACUGUUUGGUGAGACGUGUCAGGAAUGCCUUGUUCCUUCCCCUGAGGUUGCUCGGCUGGUGAUGCUGACAGAGCCAGACUGCUGUCAUGAGGAAAAUGCCUGAAUGUGAAGCAAGCAGAAGCAGGAUCAAGAACCACAGACAGAGGCCUGAUGGGGCUCGUUGAACCCCUGCAGCCAGCUGCUCUUAAUUACCCAAUUCAUGGUAUUAGCUUUUCAGUGUGUGUUGGAGGGUGGGGGAGAGUCUUAACUGGGUUUAAGCUGUAUUUCUGCAAUUCUCUGUGGAAAAUUUCCUGACACAAGAAUACUAAAAGAGCGAUGCAACGUGACUGGCUUUGAGAAUGGAUGGAAGGAGCCAAGAGCCAAGGAAUGCAGGCAGCUUCCAGAAGCUGGAAAAGGCGCGCACUCUCCCUAAAGGUUCCAGGAAGGAAUGCAGCCCUGCGGACCCAUACUGGACUCCUACCUACAGAACUAAUACCCACUUGGAAAAGAGAAGAAGUACAUACCCCUUCAUCUUAGGUCAUGUCUUUUUCUGAGGUCCUAUUUCAGUAGUACAGACGCCUCUGAGCUGAAGAGAGGUAAAGAAAAGAACAUGCUGUCUCGCACACAAAAUCUUUGACUGACCACCAGCCACCUCCCAGUAUCUGGAGAAAUUCUGGCCUCACGAACUGUCCGCAAAGCUUUGAGUGAUAAAGUCCUGCAGAAACUUUAAGAGCAACUAACUCUCCCAGGGCAUGCCAACGAUACUUGAUUUAAAGCAUAACAGGCCCCAUCACUGACUUCAACUACUCACCACCCGGU